rnacentral:rRNA from 1 species
GACGAACGCUGGCGGCGUGCUUAAUGCAUGCAAGUCGAACGGUUCUCCCGGUUCGCCGGGAGGAUAGUGGCAGACGGCUGAGUAACACGUAAGCAACCUACCCUUCGGUGGGGGAUACCUCGGCGAAAGCUGAGCUAAUACCGCAUUCGAUCUCCAGGGGAAGCUCCUGGAGAGGAAAGCCGAAAGGCGCCGGAGGAGGGGCUUGCGGCCUAUCAGGUAGUUGGUGGGGUAACGGCUCACCAAGCCGAGGACGGGUAGCUGGUCUGAGAGGAUGGCCAGCCAGACGGGGACUGAGACACGGCCCCGACUCCUACGGGAGGCAGCAGCAAGGAAUCUUGCGCAAUGGGCGAAAGCCUGACGCAGCAACGCCGCGUGGGUGAAGAAGGCCUGUGGGUUGUAAAGCCCUUUUGCUGGGGAAGAAAACAGACGGUACCCAGCGAAGAAGUCCUGACCAACUACGUGC